CCCAUCAGAGGGGGAGUAACACUUGGAAACAGGUGCUAAUACCGCAUAACAGUUUAUGCCGCAUGGCAUAAGAGUGAAAGGCGCUUCGGGUGUCGCUGAUGGAUGGACCCGCGGUGCAUUAGCUAGUUGGUGAGGUAACGGCUCACCAAGGCCGCGAUGCAUAGCCGACCUGAGAGGGUGAUCGGCCACACUGGGACUGAGACACGGCCCAGACUCCUACGGGAGGCAGCAUG
rnacentral:rRNA from 1 species